UUUUUCCCUUUUAUUUUUUGUUCAAUCCUAAACUUUUGUGUGAGUUCUUUUUCCUUUUUAAUCGCUAAUAUUUUUAAGCCCCAAGAAAGAUAAAGUAGUUCUCUGAGAACUUUUGUUGCCAAUCAAUCCAAAUCGAUAGUUGAAUCCAAAACAUACCACAUUGAUAUACACUCCUAAAAAAGAAUCCAUCGUUUUGAAGUAACCGUGUGGAGGUCUAAUUUGCCUAUGGAGGUGGUAGAUCUGGACUUCUAAAGAACACACCUUUUUCUUCUACAGUUAGGUCCCAUCUUGCCGGUGAAGGUCGCCGAUCUGAGCUCCCUAAGAACUUAUUGUUUUCUUUCAUAACUAGGUCUAUUAUCAAGCAAAGCCAAACCCAUUUCACCUUUAUUUACUUUCGGUUUAGUGAUUUUCAUAUUUACUGCAGUUUUCUUUUGGGAGUUUUGGGGGUUUUAAUUUGUUCAAUUUUAUCUCAUCUAAGCAGUGAUUAGACUUACUGGGUUAUCUUUGCCUAUUGUGUACCAAAUUUAUUAUGUGGGUAAAAUAAUUUUGAAAUACCUAGUUUUUUUGUGAGUGAGUUGUUUGCUUGGUUGUACGCUAAAAUUAUGCUUACUCAAUAUGCCAUGCACAUCUACUGUUCGACGAAAUGCCGUCCCAUUAGCAGUAGUUACUCAAAUUCUAUUUUUUUCUUGAAUGUAUCUCAAUUUGCAAAUAUUCAUAUGUAUGCCUUAAUGCAAUCUAGAUGCUCUGUUCUCUUUAUACGUUAAUCUAUUAUGGAGAAGAGAUAUUGACGAAUAUUUAGCUUUAGUGACCUUAAAUUCUGGGAGUGAUUUGUUUCAUUCAUGGUUAAAGAAAUAAGACAUCAUCAAUUCUAGUUCAUUGGAGAGUUGUACUAUUUUUAGUCUUUGAAUUAUCUAAUUUGUGCCUAUAUCAUAUCUUCAUUAGAAAAAAGCAAAAGAGUAGUUUUUUGUUGGAAAUGGAAUAUGUCAUUAGUGGUCUAGAAAUAGAAAUUAGAAUUGCAUAUUGCAUAUACUAUUGAAGGUUUAAAAAUUUGUCAAAAUUGAAGUUUGCUUUGACUAUUUUUUAAACUUUGCAAGAUUGAAAAUCUUACACUUAUUAUGAGUAUAUGACAAAGAGAAAAGACGAGGCAUUUUUGUCUAGUGGGGUAAUGUCUAAUGGUUCUAACUUUAUUUUUCUCAGAUUUGAACAUGGAGGCUUGAAAUAGUCCUUUUUAUCUGUUGGUAGGAUCAUUUCUUUUGCAUCAGACAGAAAACUAAUACUUCACUUAUUUCGUACUAGGGGUACUGCUAAGAGUUAGAUUGGAUUAACUCCAAAUAAACUUGGUUAUGGAUACUAUCCAAUUAUUCAGACAUUUAACUUCCUAAACAAAUUUAGUACUACUUUGUAACUUGGUAACUCUUUUCUGAAGAUUAAUAAUCCAAAUUCCACAAAAAGUAUGGUAAAUUGAAAGUCUUGGUUCCUAACUUGUAAUUGUUUUUAUAUUUUUGUGUACAACAUCAUAAGCAGCAGUGGAAACAGAAGCUAUAGAAUUUGUGCUAAGGCUUUUGGAAAUCAAAAGGGCACAACCAAUAGUGCAAGAAUUUGCAGCUAAGGGUAUUUUGUACCUGAUGGCCAUUUGCACCGUUUUGGAUUCAAGACUAUCUCGAAGAUCGAGGUUCUUCCUACCAAGCCAAAUACUAGUGAGCUGGACUGUACGUGGAGACUUCAAGGUAUAUCUGCCAGCGUCCGCAGAUCUCGGAGUCCCCCUCUAUCCUUAUUAUGUUAUUUCCCUUAUUCUCUUUAGACUUGAUGUAUAGAGACACUUAGUAUUUUCUCUUAGAAGCUUGUGACUUAUUUCUACCGAGUUUUAGGAGUUAUAAUUAUUGAUUUGUAGUCUUAUAUUUAUAUAUCAUGUGUUGAGAUUGGAGUUCGGUUUAUUAUUCAUUUAUUCCGCAAA